CUCAGGGACAACAACGUCACAUUAGAAAGACACCCUGUAUUUUUCCUCACUACUUUACAUCGGCCCUUGAGAGCAUAACACUGCGUUCAUCAGCAUCGCAAAGCUAACAGCGUUCUUUUUAACAUGGACAUCAUAUAUGCCUGAUUUUUAGGAGCUCGACACAACGGGACACCCCACGUUCCACUUACACAAGGAUCACAAAGCUAUAUUGGGCAAACUACACCUCUAAAAAACACAAGGGUCAAUAAGUUGUCCAGAAAAACCUGCAGAAGCGGGAGCAAUAAGACCAAGCCUUACGUUAGGUAUGUAUAUGUAUGUGUGUGCGUGUGUAUGUUUCCAACACCCGUCUAUCUCCACAGCGAUCACACAACCCCUUAACACUAUGGGCCCCAUGAAGACCCCUUGAUGGUUUUUGGAAUAUUUACACGAUAUUGAACUCCCAGAACAGAAAACAACAACAAGAAAAACCACAACCUUUGUGCAACAGCGGAGACUCGGAACCAUUCUUCAUCACCGGACCACACAUACCUGCGAGUGAGUGUCUGCCUAGUGAUUUCAGCGAUGUUUUUGAGUACAGUCUAUCAGAUUUCAAUAUAAAUGACAUACCCACCACGCCAGAAUGUCUCAGAAACAACAACAGUGAUUCAGACAUCGGUUGUGAAGAAGGAUGCAUAACAGACUCGCAAAUAUCACAGGCAU
ensembl:lncRNA